rnacentral:rRNA from 1 species
AUGACGUCAAGUCCUCAUGGCCCUUACGGGUUGGGCUACACACGUGCUACAAUGGCAGUGACAAUGGGUUAAUCCCAAAAAGCUGUCUCAGUUCGGAUUGGGGUCUGCAACUCGACCCCAUGAAGUCGGAAUCGCUAGUAAUCGCGUAACAGCAUGACCGCGGUCCGAAUACGUUCCGGGCCUU